rnacentral:rRNA from 1 species
GCGAGUUUUAACUGAGCGUUCAGUUACUUGACGUAGACCCGAAACCGGGCGACCUACCCAUGAGCAGGAUGAAGCGAAAGGAAAAUUUCGUGGAGGUCCGAACCCACGAGCGUUGAAAAGCUCGGGGAUGACUUGUGGGUAGCGGUGAAAUUCCAAUCGAGCCCGGAGAUAGCUGGUUCUCCCCGAAAUAGCUUUAGGGCUAGCCUCAAGGUGAGAGAUACGGAGGUAGAGCACUGAAUGUCCUAGGGGGUAUUGCACCUACCGAAGACUAU